UUGCUGUUUAGAUAUUUCUUUCCUCCCUCUGCAGAUGCUUUCUUCCUUUGCAGGCUGAUGGUCUGUGGCCUGCUUUCUUCUGUCUUCCAGCACACUCCAUGUCUUCCCUCUGCAGAUGUUUGGAGCUCUGUCUUGUCUGCAGAAUCUGUCUUGUCUAACUGAGUGUCUUGCUUACAAAGUCACACCCUCCUCCCCCCCCCUGCCCCCGCUAAACAAUAGUAAGCAACCUGAUUGGUCUGCUUGACCAUGACAUCACACAGCUGGUGCUGCACAGAUAAUAAAUACUGCAGAAUUUUCUAUACUUUCAUCCCAAGACUCUCACUCCCUUUCCAAGGACUUCUUUUUUUUUUGGAAAA